rnacentral:rRNA from 1 species
UAUGGAGAGUUUGAUCCUGGCUCAGGAUGAACGCUGGCGGCGUGCCUAAUACAUGCAAGUCGAGCGAACGGACGAGAAGCUUGCUUCUCUGAUGUUAGCGGCGGACGGGUGAGUAACACGUGGAUAACCUACCUAUAAGACUGGGAUAACUUCGGGAAACCGGAGCUAAUACCGGAUAAUAUUUUGAACCGCAUGGUUCAAAAGUGAAAGACGGUCUUGCUGUCACUUAUAGAUGGAUCCGCGCUGCAUUAGCUAGUUGGUAAGGUAACGGCUUACCAAGGCAACGAUGCAUAGCCGACCUGAGAGGGUGAUCGGCCACACUGGAACUGAGACACGGUCCAGACUCCUACGGGAGGCAGCAGUAGGGAAUCUUCCGCAAUGGGCGAAAGCCUGACGGAGCAACGCCGCGUGAGUGAUGAAGGUCUUCGGAUCGUAAAACUCUGUUAUUAGGGAAGAACAUAUGUGUAAGUAACUGUGCACAUCUUGACGGUACCUAAUCAGAAAGCCACGGCUAACUACGUGCCAGCAGCCGCGGUAAUACGUAGGUGGCAAGCGUUAUCCGGAAUUAUUGGGCGUAAAGCGCGCGUAGGCGGUUUUUUAAGUCUGAUGUGAAAGCCCACGGCUCAACCGUGGAGGGUCAUUGGAAACUGGAAAACUUGAGUGCAGAAGAGGAAAGUGGAAUUCCAUGUGUAGCGGUGAAAUGCGCAGAGAUAUGGAGGAACACCAGUGGCGAAGGCGACUUUCUGGUCUGUAACUGACGCUGAUGUGCGAAAGCGUGGGGAUCAAACAGGAUUAGAUACCCUG